rnacentral:piRNA from 1 species
UGAGCAGAUAUACACUGUCUUCACCUGACCCC